CCCGCAGAGGCGGGCAGCUCGCCUGGCUACCCCUUCUGGGUUUGCAAAUCAGCCUCUUCCGCCCCAACACACACACACUCCGCGGGCUGGCUCCAUCACUGCCUGUCCCUCAGAUAAUUCAAGGCCUGCAAUAAACAAAAAGGAAUUCUGGGAGACAAGCCAAUAGACAGUCAAACUCCAACCAACCUGGGGAUGGAACCUGUGACUCCGGGGUAGUUAAGAAGCUAACAACUCGACUGAGCCACUUCCAAUGCCUCCUACAGUCUAAGUGAAAGCUAUCUUCCCGACAAAGAUAUCUACACAGAGAGCCAGCUCUCUCUGCAAGGCCUUUCCUAAGAAAAUCCUUCUGGUGUUGUGGUGAUGCCAAGCUUUGUGAGACUAGAAGCCAAAAGUGAGCAAGGAUGGUGGAAUAUAAUGCCAUUCCUGGAUAAUGAUGGACUGCUAUGAAUCGGUGCUGCAAAAACCAUCAGUGGAACGGAAAGGAGAUAAUGUGGGCAACCAAAUGAAGAAUUAGCCUAGAACACCAGGACAAAUAUCUGCAAAGGAGCACAAGGAGUAGAUUCCUUUUGGUUACGGUCAAUGGUCUGUAUUAGAGCUCUGAUGGUAUAUCUAUAAUAUGAGAAGGGACCUUAGACAUCUGUCUGCUUUUCCCACCUUGCUCACUCUCACUAUAUUUUAUCUGAAAUGGGAAACAAUCUCUGCUCAGGCGAAUCCAUGGGGCCAAUGUAGCGUUAUUUGAAGAUUCUGGAGGGGGCAAAACAGGGCUGCUUAGGAUCUCCACGUGGCUCAUCAUUCUUUCAUUGGGAGUUAACACUUGGAGGCUUUUCUGCUUCUGGGAUUUACUCAACACAUGCU
rnacentral:lncRNA from 1 species